rnacentral:tRNA from 1 species
AGUAGCUCAGCUGGUUAGAGCACAUCACUCAUAAUGAUGGGGUCACAGGUUCAAAUCCCGUCUA